rnacentral:rRNA from 1 species
GAACUUUCCAGAGAUGGAUUGGUGCCUUCGGGAACUGUGAGACAGGUGCUGCAUGGCUGUCGUCAGUUCGUGUUGUGAAAUGUUGGGUUAAGUCCCGCAACGAGCGCAACCCUUAUCCUUUGUUGCCAGCGAUUCGGUCGGGAACUCAAAGGAGACUGCCAGUGAUAAACUGGAGGAAGGUGGGGAUGACGUCAAGUCAUCAUGGCCCUUACGACCAGGGCUACACACGUGCUACAAUGGCGCAUACAAAGAGAAGCGACCUCGCGAGAGCAAGCGGACCUCAUAAAGUGCGUCGUAGUCCGGAUUGGAGUCUGCAACUCGACUCCAUGAAGUCGGAAUCGCUAGUAAUCGUGGAUCAGAAUGCCACGGUGAAUACGUUCCCGGGCCUUGUACACACCGCCCGUCACACCAUGGGAGUGGGUUGCAAAAGAAGUAGGUAGCUUAACCUUCGGGAGGGCGCUUACCACUUUGUGAUUCAUGACUGGGGUGAAGUCGUAACAAGGUAACCGUAGGGGAACCUGCGGUUGGAUCACCUCCUUA